CCUACGGGUGGCAGCAGUGAGGAAUAUUGGUCAAUGGGCGCGAGCCUGAACCAGCCAAGUCGCGUGAGGGAAGACGGCCCUAUGGAUUGUAAACCUCUUUUGUCGGGGAGCAAAAGACGCCACGCGUGGCGUUCCGUGAGUACCCGAAGAAAAAGCAUCGGCUAACUCCGUGCCAGCAGCCGCGGUAAUACGGAGGAUGCGAGCGUUAUCCGGAUUUAGUGGGUUUAAAGGGUGCGCAGGCGGAAGAUCAAGUCAGCGGUAAAAUUGAGGGGCUCAACCUCUUCGAGCCGUUGAAACUGGGUUUCUUGAGUGAGCGAGAAGUAUGCGGAAUGCGUGGUGUAGCGGUGAAAUGCAUAGAUAUCACGCAGAACUCCGAUUGCGAAGGCAGCAUACCGGCGCUCAACUGACGCUGAUGCACGAAAGUGUGGGUAUCGAACAGGAUUAGAUACCCGGGUAGUC
rnacentral:rRNA from 1 species